rnacentral:rRNA from 1 species
CUUGACCUCAAAUCAGGUAGGACUACCCGCCGAACUUAAGCAUAUCAAUAAGCGGAGGAAAAGAAACUAACAAGGAUUCCCCUAGUAACUGCGAGUGAAGCGGGAAAAGCUCAAAUUUAAAAUCUGGUGGUCUUUGGCCAUCCGAGUUGUAAUUUAGAGAA